rnacentral:tRNA from 1 species
GGUGGUGUAGCCUAGUGAUGUAACUCUUACCUAGCAUGCAUGAGGCCCUGAGUUUGAUCCUUAGCACUACCA